GGCAGUGUGAAGGGGGCAGGGCAAGGAAGGGCGGAGCAUUUCCGUUUAAGGGCGAAAUGCAAAUUAGCGCAACUUCUCACGUCGCCCAGUGAGUGUUGUAUUCAGUGAAACAUGAGUCUUUCCGGAUGUUCUGUGAUCCAGAUUAUUAUAUUCAGCUCUGUCCACUGAUUCUUCACCACCUGCUCCAGGUAAAAGGACACGGUGGAUGCUGUCAUCUAAUCAUACAACUUUACAGUAUGGAGGCAGGC